UUCGUGGGGAACCUGGUGCUAAACCAUUUGUAGACGACCUGCUUCUGGGCUUGAUUCUGAAAGAUGA